rnacentral:rRNA from 1 species
ACGCAGCAACGCCGUGUGAGGGAUGAAGGCUUUCGGGUCGUAAACCUCUGUCGGAAGGGAAGAACGGGCAUUGGUCUAAUAGGCCUUUGUUUUGACGGUACCUUUAGAGGAAGCACCGGCUAACUCCGUGCCAGCAGCCGCGGUAAUACGGAGGGUGCAAGCGUUAUUCGGAAUUACUGGCGUAAAGCGCACGUAGGCGGCCUUGUAAGUCAGGGGUGAAAUCCCACGGCUCAACCGUGGAACUGCCUUUGAAACUGCAGGGCUUGAAUCCUGGAGAGGGUGGCGGAAUUCCUGGUGUAGGAGUGAAAUCCUUAGAUAUCAGGAGGAACACCGGUGGCGAAGGCGGCCACCUGGACAGGUAUUGACGCUGAGGUGCGAAAGUGUGGGGAGCAAACAGGAUUAGAUACCCUGGUAGUCCACACCGUAAACGAUGGAUACUAGGUGUCGGGGACUUGAUCUUCGGUGCGUACGUAACGCGUUAAGUAUCCCGCCUGGGAGCACGGU